rnacentral:tRNA from 1 species
UCCUGGAUGGCUCAGUGGUAAAGAAUCUGACUGCCAAUGCAGGAGACAUGAGUUCAAUCCUUGGUCCAGGAA